rnacentral:lncRNA from 1 species
CCUGUUGCAAUAUAAGCUGUGAAUAAGUAGCUGCCACCUGGGCAUUCCCAAGGAAAAUACGUCCAUGGUCAUCUGAAAGGCCAUGAGGAUAAUCCUAGUGAGAAUAAAUGAAAGAGAACUUUGUUUUUUGCAUUUGGUUGUAUGUUGCAGACAUUCAGAAGAGGACUUAUCGUGGCAAAAGAAAACAUUCUGUCCUUGAGGGGAUCUCAGAAUAGCACAACGUGUUCAAUAAGGCUUUGAAAGAAAACAAAGAGCUGAAGGCCAGAGCUGACUCCUUCAGACAAGAGUAUAAAAUGCAGGACUCAAAGUACUUAAAAUACUUCAGUGACAAGCAACAAAGAAAUGCCUGUUACUAUAAUUGCCUGCAUUAAGUAAAGAGCCAGAAAAUCUUGAGAACUUUUAAAAAAGUAGAUAUUUGAUGUGUAGGGAGUGUAAGAACAAAAUUCUCUCGGGCCAUGGCCGGAGCCCUGAAUCAGCAGAACUCUUUUCCUUGAAGAAAGUGAAAACCAGAGGAGGAUACACCCCAGUCCAAGAGGAACUAGACACAGACCACCAGCAAUACAGACCAACCACCAGCAAUACAGACCAUUCGUUAUAUCUUUUUUUCUUUUUUUUUUUUUUUUUUUCAGUAGCUAUUAAUUUGGGAUGCAUUUCAACUAGUGGCCUCGACUGGAAAAGUACCAGAUCCCAUGCUGUGUAUCUCGAGGGUACCCAGUCUCAUUAAUAAGCACCUUCAUUCCAGAGUAUUGUCUGUUUAUUUUGGAAGGUUUUCCUCCCCUCCCUGAAAAAACAGAGAUGAAUUGGGAUAAAUACAGGCAGGAAAUGGUCUCCCUAGCAACACUAAGAAUACAUAAGAACAACCUCAUCAUUCACUUUUCUUCCUUAGAUACACUUUUAAAAGAAGUUUGAGCUACCCUAAAAGACAUCUCCUGUUCGCAGUACAACACCCAAGUCAACAGAAUUAAUCAGCCCUGAUUUCACUUUCAGUGAGAAGGGAACUAAGUCCCUUUAAAAAAACCAGGGACAUAAGGUCUUAGAUUCCAGGGAAAGAAAGCUGAGUCAAAAGAGGAGUUCAUUCAGAUUCAACACUGCUCAAAAGAAAGCAGCUUUAUAUAACAUUCAGCUUUGCUGAAAUGUAACUUACAUUAACAAACUUCCAGCAUGCCCUGUUCAGAGAGCCUUAGGUUUUGAUAAAGUCUGGGUUCAGCUGUCUACGGGCAAAAUCUAAUCUAGUUGUGUAACAAUGCCAGAAAGGAAAUCAGAAAACUUGUUUCUGAGAGUUUAUUGGGGGAGACAUCAAAGCGUGGUGCUGCAUAAUUCCUACUCCCGUCACGUUGCACUAACACAGCCCCCUCACUCCUGAUCCACUUGCUGUGCCUGCCAGCUUCUGAAUGCACUAUGAGGUGCAUGAGAGGCAUUUCAGCAGCUGAGAAGGCUGAGAGGGCUUUUCACCUGGAACAGUGUGUCCAGCCUAAGAGCUGCAUGGGAGAAACCCCUCGCUGCAGUUUGAGAGCAUGCCCUGGCUCUACCAUAUUCAAGGAGGAGCAUUAAAAAUGCAUUGUCAGCCCUAGAAGGAAACCUUAUCAUUGCUGUGCAGCCCGGACACCAUGCGUUACCAAUAGGGCAUAUAGGAGGUGCUUCUAUCGCCAUGGGGUUGUGUUGUACUUGUGGUGCUUGGGAAGGGUGUAUUUGGUGCCUUCGGUGUUGUGUGGCUGGUGUUAGAAGCAGAAAACUCAAGCACAACUGGAUAAAGAAUAGUUCUAAGAAGGGCAGGGGAUCAUUCUGAAGAUUUCACAGGAAAACAAGAAUUAGAAUCAAAAUAAAGAAAACUGAGAGGAAAGAUAACAAAAAAAAAAAAAAGAAAGUGAACACUGCAACCCUCCCAAAGCCAGAACAGCUUUCUAUCCAUGCAUGAGCAUCCCGGCUGGAGCGCAACCAAGCUGCUUCCAUCAGACCUGCACACCUCCCAGGUGUGUCUGCUGGAGCUUAUACCUAUGCAUAACUUGAACACUUUAUUCUAAAAGGAAAAGCAAUAAAAAUCAAAGCAGGCUUGUAUACAAGUUAAAUCUUCUGUUAAGGAGCGGUAAUGUUAUUUGUUUUCAAUCAAAUGAGGGCAAUAAAAGCCAAGAUGUGUAAUGAAACCCCACCUGGUGUGUAUCGGCCUUGACACAGCCUUUUUAUUCAACAUAGCCUUUGCUUAAUGGAAAUCCCUGGCAAAGAGCCAGAGCCAGGGCUGUAAUGUUUGUAAAUAGCUGUUGCUUUCAGCCUGACUUUCCCCAGAGAAAACCAUGCAGGAAUAAAAAAAGUGAAGAUUCGGUAACAGCGUAAUUGCGUCACAUAACGGCCACCCCCGGGAAGCCAUCUGAAGUUUUAAUGCUCUAAAAUGAAUGCUGAAUUCACUCGUUUUCUCUAACAAAGGUGGCUGUUGCGGUGGCUGCACACACACCAGAGGGCUGCUGAAGGAAAGCGGAACAAAUGCCAUUUGCAAUUCAAGUGCCUUUAGACCCCAGAUGCUGCUGCCUCACAACCACUCUUCUGCAACCUUGAUGAAGGAUGGUAAUUAUCCCUCCAGUACUGGUGACCAGCACAGGCCCGGCCCUAAUCUCUUGCUGAUGUGGGCGACAGACCUGCUCAAGGACACAGAGGCACAGGUUGGUGCCAGGCCAUUGAAAUGACACCGAGUCAGGCUGGAUUUGACUCAUACUCCUGGUCCUGCAUGCUAGAAUAAAUAUCUGCAGCUCUGGCAUGACAGAGAUGGGGCUUCAGAACCUUCCCAUCUUGUACUGGGGCUUGCUCAAUAUUGGGAUCCCCUCUUGGCAGCCAGGAGAACCCCAGAGCCACCUCAAGCUUUCCGAUCCACUUCUUUUAACCUGGCACUCGACUAUAAACAGCUGCCGGUGGCACACAUGGUAUAUUAAGCUUCUGGAGAAAUGAACUAGUUUUCAU